UGAGCAAUCUGCCCUUCUCUUUGGAAUAAGCGUUGGAAACGACGUCUAAUGCCGAAUACGACCUCCUUUCGCAUGAUCGGAGGUGGAAAGCUCCGGCGGAGAAGGAUGAGCUCGCGGCCUAUCAGCUAGUUGGUGUGGGUAAUGGCCCACAAGGCGACGACGGGUAGCCGGCCUGAGAGGGUGACCGGCCACACUGGGACUGAGACACGGCCCAGACCUCCGUACGGGAGG
rnacentral:rRNA from 1 species